GUGCUAUGACUCCAGCCCGCACAUAUACUAAAAUUGGAACGAUACAGAGAAGAUUAGCAUGGCCCCUGCGCAAGUAGAAAUAAUGAAAACAAAAUAAUGUAAAUGCUACC